AACGAACGCUGGCGGCAUGCCUAACACAUGCAAGUCGAACGAGACCGCCGGGUUUAGUGUCGCACGGGUGCGUAACGCGUGGGAACAUGCCCUUAGGCUCGGAAUAACGUCCCGAAAGGGGUGCCAAUACCGGAUAAUGUCUUCCGACCGAAGAUUUAUUGAGAUUGGAUGGGCCCGCGGUGGAUUACAUAGUUGGUAGGGGAAAAGGCUCCAAAGGGGACGAUCGAUAGCUGGUCUGAGAGGAUGCGCAGCCACACUGGGACUGGGACACGGCCCGGACUCCUACGGGAGGCAGCAGUGGGGAAUAUUGGACAGCGGGCGGAAGGAUGAUCCAGCUAUGGCGGGUGAGUGAUGAAGGCCUUAGGGUUGUAAAGCUCUUUUACCCGGGAUGAUAAUGACGUUACCGGAAGAAUAAGCUCCGGCUAACUCCGUG
rnacentral:rRNA from 1 species